AGAGGGAGAGAGAGAGAGAGAGAGAGAGAGAGAGAGAGAGAGAGAGAGAAAUGUAUGAACACAGGAGUGUCAAACAUAUUUUUAAACUGAUGGUCUCAGCUGCAUCAGUUCUCAUUUUAGUGACUCUGUUUCUCUCCCCAGGUCACCCUGAGUGCAUUGAAGCGCUUGUUCACUGCAGAGCAGAUGUGGAUCAGGAUAUUGACUCAUUAGGGUCUCCUCUUCAUGCAAUCAGCAACUGAGCUCAGUGAAGAAACCAACUUCAGCUCGGUGCCGAUGCUAACAAGAGCACUUCUGGUGACUCUCCCCUGCACAUCGCUGCACGUCUGUCCAGCCCUGAGUUGGUUUCUGCCCUCCUCCACUACGGAGCGGACCGGCUCCUGGUGAACUCGGAGGGCAAGCGGCGUCUGGACCUGGUUCCUCCUGACAGCCCAGUGGGGCGACUGCUGAGAGAGACAGGAGGUAUUCAGUUCACAGUUACAGAGUGAGCUAAGAGAGAUGGGUGGGCAUCCAACGCUCUUUGUACUGGGAUGCUGGGACUGUAAGCACACAAUCAAACCCUCUCUCUCUGAUGACCCCGGCAGUGUCUCCUUUAAAGCAGCUGUGCCGGGCUACGCAUCAGGAAAACUGUGGGGAAGCAGAGGCUGGGUGGGAUUCCUGAACCUUCACCUCCCCACAAAGCUGAUGCCGUAUCUGCUCUUCCAAUCAGAGCAGAGGGAUGCUCACAAACACUGAAAUCACUUCCAUCUUUCAACCCCAAACUCUGAGCACUUUCACAUUCAGGCCAGCAGGGGGAGAACUUGCACAACCUGGCAGGAUAAUUCCACUAGGAGAGCUUCAAGAUGAGUGUGAGCUGAUUUAUUAUGCAAAUAAAGAAACUUCUUGUUGGAAGAUGCUUUUAUAAAAUAUUCAUUAGCAAUAACACAUAUCAAAUGAAAAUAAAAUCAAAGCACACAGAUCUCUGAAAGACUAACUUUAACACAACAUAUGAAUCCUCAUUAAUGUUGCAUUUAUUUCCAGGUUGUAAAUAAAACCUGGGCUUUAUAGACGUAUUAAAAAACACGAGACAAAUGUUUCUAUUAAUUCAUUUUCCAGCUAAAAAAAAAAAAAAAAUCUAACAGUUAAACCAGAAUACACAGAAUACCUUAAAUAAAAGUUGCCAUGUCUCAGAUGGUUUCAUCUGGGUUGGAGAAAACAUGUAUUUAAAAUCUUUAAUAUUUUAUUUAUUGGCAUUGCUGCUUGAAUUGAACUACUUGAAAGCAAUGCUUCCAAUUCUGUUCUCUAUUAAUUUGUAGUGCUUGUUUCCAAUGUGUUUUUUUUCUUCUUCAUUUCAACCAUUAAUAAGAUAUGACUUGUUUUGCAAAGUGUCUCAAGAUGACAUUUGUUGUGAAUUGGCAUUAUGCAAAUAAACUGAAUUGAAAUUUCAUCUACUGCUGAU